rnacentral:rRNA from 1 species
UACGUAGGGGGCAAGCGUUGACCGGAUUUACUGGGCGUAAAGCGCGUGUAGGCGGCCACGCAGGUCCGUUGUGAAAACUAGAGGCUCAACCUCUAGACGUCGACGGAAACCGUGUGGCUAGAGUCCGGAAGAGGAGAGUGGAAUUCCUGGUGUAGCGGUGAAAUGCGCAGAUAUCAGGAAGAACACCAAUGGCGAAGGCGGCUCUCUGGGACGGUACUGACGCUGAGACGCGAAAGCGUGGGGAGCGAACAGG